GCAGUCAAGAAUAUUAGUCAAUGCUCGCAAGAGUGAACUAGCUAACUGAAAUCACAGGAUCCAUUACGUGUGGUGAAUGUAAUAACGUAAGGGAAAAAAAUGAUAUUACCUUACUAUUAGUGUUGUCCAAAACUGGUGCCAGAAGACUCGGUAAGACCAGAGACGCAAACGUUAGUCGUCCUAAUCAGGCGUAAAGGGUAUGUAGGCUGCUUUAAAAGUUUUAAUAUUUAAUAGCUAAUGUAAAAAAUAAUAUUUUAAUUUUAAAUUUUAUUUAAAUUAUUACAAUAAAUAUAAAAUGAAUUAAAGCUAGAAUCAAAUUGAGGAUAAUUUAAAUAAUAUCUAGUGUAGGGUUUAAAUCUGUUGAUGUUAGGUAGAGUACUAACGGUGAAAACUUUUUAUCUAGAAAUGAUUGACGCUGAGAAACGAAGGUGAGAAUAGGAAAUAGGAUUAGAUACCCAGAUACCUCUCACAGUAAACGAUGAAUGGUGGUUGUUAGUUAGUUUUAUUUAACUGAUAACGAUGUUAACACGAUAACCAUUCCGCCUUGCGAGUACGGUUGCAAAACUGAAACCAAAAAAAUUAGUCGGUCUCGAAGCAAACGAAGUGAAGCAUGUUAUUUAAUUCGAUAAUCCGCA
rnacentral:rRNA from 1 species